rnacentral:rRNA from 1 species
CCUACGGGUGGCAGCAGUGAGGAAUAUUGGUCAAUGGGCGGGAGCCUGAACCAGCCAAGUCGCGUGAGGGAAGACGGUCCUAUGGAUUGUAAACCUCUUUAGGCGGGGAGCAAUGCCGGGCACGUGUGCCCGGAGGGAGAGUACCCGCAGAAUAAGCAUCGGCUAACUCCGUGCCAGCAGCCGCGGUAAUACGGAGGUGGCAAGCGUUAUCCGGAUUUACUGGGUGUAAAGGGCGAGUAGGCGGGAUUGCAAGUCAGAUGUGAAAACUAUGGGCUCAACCGAUAGAGUGCAUUUGAAACUGCAGUUCUUGAGUGAUGGAGAGGCAGGCGGAAUUCCCGGUGUAGCGGUGGAAUGCGUAGAUAUCGGGAGGAACACCAGUGGCGAAGGCGGCCUGCUGGACAUUAACUGACGCUGAGGCGCGAAAGCGUGGGGAGCAAACAGGAUUAGAUACCCCUGUAGUC